GAUGAACGCUGGCUACAGGCUUAACACAUGCAAGUCGAGGGGAAACGACGGGGAAGCUUGCUUCCCCGGGCGUCGACCGGCGCACGGGUGAGUAACGCGUAUCCAACCUGCCUCUGACUGAGGGAUAACCCGUCGAAAGUCGGCCUAAUACCUCAUGGCAUCGUCUGCGGGCAUCCAACGACGAUUAAAGAUUUCAUCGGUCAGGGAUGGGGAUGCGUCUGAUUAGCUUGUUGGCGGGGUAACGGCCCACCAAGGCUACGAUCAGUAGGGGUUCUGAGAGGAAGGUCCCCCACAUUGGAACUGAGACACGGUCCAAACUCCUACGGGAGGCAGCAGUGAGGAAUAUUGGUCAAUGAGCGGGAGCCUGAACCAGCCAAGUAGCGUGCAGGAUGACGGCCCUAUGGGUUGUAAACUGCUUUUAUGCGGGGAUAAAGUGAGGGACGUGUCCUUCAUUGCAGGUACCGCAUGAAUAAGGACCGGCUAAUUCCGUG
rnacentral:rRNA from 1 species